GAUCUAAUUUUGUAUAAAAUAAUUUCAUAUGUAUUUUAAUCUUUCCUGCAGAAUAUUCAACUGAAGAAAAAUUGAAGUAUAAAUUUUGCAAACAUUAUGUGGAGAUUGGACACCUUACAGGGGACCUGAAGCCUAUGACAUUCUGGCACAUGGACUGUCAUGAUCAAGAUUAUUUUCCUCUUGGAGACGUAACUGCUCAAGGUAAACGUAAACCUCAUAAUAGGGCAGUAAUAGUGAAGGAUGAGAAUAAUGGCCUUCUGGGACGUCCUAAAGGUUUGAGGAAGAAAAGAGGUUUGACUUCUUCAUAUCUCUAACUGCGAAGAGAUAUAUUACUGGACUGAUAUUUGUAAGUUUACUGACCUCUUUUUCGACACUGGACUUUGCAACUGAUUAAUCCUGGACGGACUGAACUAGUGUAUGAUAUAUGGACUGUUUGACUAUGCUAUAAAUAUUACUGGAAUAAACUAUUUAACUAGCACA
rnacentral:lncRNA from 1 species